AAUAAUAUAAUUUAAUUUUUUUUUUAGUAUUAAUAUGUUUUUAAAUUAUAUAAUUUUAAAGUAAAAUUUGUUAGGUGAAAUUUUAAAUUUUACAAUAAAUUAAUAUUUGGUGAUUAAUUGAUAAAUUUAAUGAUAAACUAGGAUUAGAUACCCUAUUAUUAUAAGUGUAAAUUUAUGCUAGAUUAGUAAAAGUUAUGUUCUCUAAAAUUAAUGAUUUUGGCGGUUUUUUAGUCUAUUCAGAGGAACCUGUUCUGUAAUCGAUAGUCCACGAUUUAAUUAUCCUUUGUUAAAAGUUUGUAUAUCGUCGUAAUUAGAGUAUUUUAUAAGAAUUUAAAUAUUCAAUAUUUAUUUGUUAAUAUAAAUCAGAUCAAGGUAUAGCUUAUAUAAAGGUAGAAAUGGGUUACAUUUAUUUUAAUAUGGGAUUAUUUUAUGAAAAAUAGUAUGAAUUUGGAUUUGAAAGUAAUUUUAAUUAAAUUAUUAAUUUGAUUUUAGCUCUAAAAUAUGCACAUAUCGCCCGUCGCUUUCAUUUUAAGGUGAAAUAAGUCGUAACAAAGUAGGCUUACUGGAAAGUGAGCCUAGAAAGAACGAGUUAGAGCUUGUUAUAAGCGUUUUAUUUACACUAAAAAGUUAAUUGUGAAAAUCAAUUUAACUUGAUUAAAAAAAAUUAUUUUUAUUUUUAGAAAAAUGAUAUUUAGAAAAAAAAAUUAAUUAUUUAGUAUUUUUAAAGAAAAAUUUUUUUUUAUUAUAGUAAAUUAGUAUUGAAAGAGAAAUUUAAAUUAAAGGUAAAAAAAGAAUAAUAUU
rnacentral:rRNA from 1 species